UACGUAGGUGACAAGCGUUGUCCGGAUUUACUGGGCGUAAAGAGCGCGCAGGCGGUCGUUCAAGUCGAGUGUGAAAGCCCCCGGCUCAACUGGGGAGGGUCACUCGAUACUGAUCGACUUGAAGGCAGGAGAGGGUAGUGGAAUUCCCGGUGUAGUGGUGAAAUGCGUAGAUAUCGGGAGGAACACCAGUGGCGAAGGCGACUACCUGGCCUGUUCUUGACGCUGAGGCGCGAAAGCUAGGGGAGCAAACGGGG
rnacentral:rRNA from 1 species